rfam:Triticum aestivum genome assembly, contig: Triticum_aestivum_CS42_TGACv1_scaffold_112882_2AS
UUCAUACUCCCUCCGUCUUAAAAUUCUUAUCUUAGAUUUGUCUAGAUACGGAUGUACUUGAUACAUCCGUAUCUAAACAAAUCUAAGACAAGAAUUUUAGGACGGAGGGAGUAUAUG